GCCGUCCUUGGGAGCGCGCGCGACGGCGGAAGUGCGGCGCGGGCGGCAGGUGGACGCGGGGCCGGUCCGACUGUGUCCCCGGGCGGGGUGGGGACGGGCUCCCCGCGCUCGGUUCUCGAGAUUACCUGGAGAGCGCUGGCAUUGUCGCCGUCGUCGCUAGCGGCCUGAGAGUCCCAGUCCGACAAGGACGUGUGCGGACUCACGGGGAGGGCGGGGAGUGGUGGAUCUGUGCGUCUGACUCUGAGGUACGGGCCCCGCGGGGUCAGCAGCCCUUUAGCCGAGGGCGGUGCUCGUCGGGUCGGAGAUGGCCGUGGCGUCCAGGGAGCGCCCAGCGAUGUCGCUGUUGUCCUAGUCCUAGGGACGUCGAGGGCGCGGGCGCUUUCAGUGUGUUACACCUUCCAUCUCCAGGAUUUGGGUCAGACAUUGCUACUAUCCAGCAAAGUCUUUCUGUUUCAGCUAGGCUGCCAUAACAAAAUGCCACAGAUGGAGUGGCUUCUUUUCUCACAGUCUGGAGGCUGGAUGUCCAAGAUCAAGUCUUUUUUAGAUGAAAGGCAUGAAGACCGAUUUCCCCAUAGAUAAUGGGUAAAGGACAUAAAGAAAAUGAUAGAAGAACUACAAAUCGACAACAAAUAUGGAAAACAUCUUUAGCCUCAGUUAAAAUCAAAGAAAUACAAAUUAAAACACUGAAGCUUCCACUGAGGCCUCCUGGAAUGCUCUGGAAGCCCUGAGUGAUCACAUAAGAAGGACUACGACCUGGGAGCCCUGUGCCGGAGAGGCCACAUGUAGGUGCUCUGGUCCAUGGUGCCAGUUGAACAGAGCCUUCAGCCACCCCAGUGGUCUCUAUUGUGUCACAAAGAACAGAAGAAUCAGCCAGCUGA